UAGCUUGACACUGAACACUGGUCCUUGAUGUGUAGGAUAGGUGGGAGGCUUUGAAGCGUGGACGCCAGUCUGCGUGGAGCCAUCCUUGAAAUACCACCCUUUAAUGGCUGGUGUUCUAACGUAGACCCGUAAUCCGGGUUGCGGACAGUGUCUGGUGGGUAGUUUGACUGGGGCGGUCUCCUCCCAAAGAGUAACGGAGGAGCACGAAGGUUAGCUAAUCCUGGUCGGACAUCAGGAGGUUAGUGCAAUGGCAUAAGCUAGCU
rnacentral:rRNA from 1 species